rnacentral:lncRNA from 1 species
CUUCCCCCUUGUUUGCCGAUUGAAGAAAGCCUUAUAUGGCUUCAAACAAGCGAGAAAGGCCCUUUCUAUCUUAUUAGUCAAGUGCGCUAGCUGUAAUAAAAAAACAGCGCUAACGAGCAAGAAAGGGGAUGCGCUAAGGCGCAACAGCGUUCGUGCAGCAGCUGCGCCCUUGCUUCUUGAUUUCGAGCCGGAGCUUGCUGGGUAGUGAAGUGGUCCGUGAAGGUUAAAUAAGACUUGUGUUAAGCAAGCAGAGUAGUCAAGCCAAAAAAGCAAGAAGCGGUUUUCGUUCGAUCGACGGAAUCAAUCGUACUUUCACUGCUAUGGAUCGGCUUUCAUAAAGCACCUUUGGGCAGCAGCUACUAUUGGGAUCCAAUUUCGAGAUCAAUUCGACAAUGAAACUCUUUUAGCAAUGAUCUUAUCUAUGUCAUUUCUCUUGACGCGAUACAAAAGACGACUUUCUAGAGUCACUUA